UUCUUGAAAAUUAAGGGAUUUGACGGUGCAUUAGUCUUUUCAGAGGAAUCUGUUCUAUAAUUGAUUUUACACGUUUUGAAAUUCUUAGUUUAUGUUUACAUAUCGCCGUAUAUCUGAAUUUUUUAUUAGAAUUUUAAUGUUCAAUAUUUUAGUUUAAAUUUAUUGCAGGUCAAGACGUAGCUUUUAAUUGAGAAGAAAUGGAUUACAAUAAAUUUAUUUAUAUGAAAUAAUUUUUUUAACUAUUUUAGGAAGGUGGAUUUGAAGGUAAUUUUAUUUUAAAUUAUUUAAGUGAUUUAGCUCUAAUACAUGUACAUAUUGUCCGUCACUUUCAUUAUAAAAUGAAAUAAGUCGUAACAUAGUAGAUGUACUGGAAAGUGCAUCUAGUAAGACAAACUAAAGCUUGUAGCGUUUUAGUUACAUUAAAAAGUUUAUUGUAUAAUCAAUAUAGUUUGAUAUUAAUAAAUUAUUUUUGUUUAUUUAAUUUAUAUUAUUUAUUAGAAUUAACUUUUUUUUUAUUAUGGUUUAGUAAAAAAUUUUUUUUAUUAUAGUUUAUUAGUACUGUGAAGGAAUUUUUAUAUUAAUUAAAAAGAAUAAUUUAUUUUUUGUACCUGGG
rnacentral:rRNA from 1 species